ACAGCAUCUUAAACAGGUCGUGGUCUCUGAGCAGUAGACCAGGAUUUGGUAGCUGGUGCUAAGAUCAGUUCUCUUCUGCAACACUCCCGCUAGCAACUUUUGGGCUUUCUGGGAUUACUAUGGGAGAGAGACAAAC
ensembl:snoRNA